AUGAACGCUAGCGGCAGGCCUAACACAUGCCAGUCGAGGGAGAAGCCCUUUCGGGGGCAGACACCGGCGCACGGGUGCGUAACGCGUAUGCAACCUACCUUUCACAGGGGGAUAGCCCGAAGAAAUUUGGAUUAAUACCCCAUAAUAUUAUUGGAUGGCAUCAUUUGAUAAUUAAAACUGCGGUGGUGAAAGAUGGGCAUGCGUCCUAUUAGCUAGUUGGAGUGGUAACGGCACCCCAAGGCUACGAUAGGUAGGGGUCCUGAGAGGGAGAUCCCCCACACUGGUACUGAGACAGGGACCAGACUCCUACGGGAGGCAGCAGUGAGGAAUAUUGGUAAAUGGUCGGAAGACUGAACCAGCCAUGCCGCGUGCAGGAAGAAUGCCUUAUGGGUUGUAAACUGCUUUUAUAUGGGAAGAAUAAGGCGUACGUGUACGUUGAUGACGGUACCAUAUGAAUAAGCAUCGGCUAACUCCGUG
rnacentral:rRNA from 1 species